ensembl:lncRNA
CUAACCUAUAUAAAAUGUAAACAGUAUAUUGAUUGCACUAUAUAAAUGAGUAAAUUUUAAGAGGAACAAUGUGGGAAUAUAUAAAUUUGUCUAAAAUUUUGUAACUCUGUUGAACAAAGGGAAGAUUUGAAAAGUGUAAAUUCCAGAGUUGAGAAAGUAUUUAGCAUGGUGGAAAUGUGGAGAGCUUAUUGGUGAGAGAGGAUGGAGCUAAGAGAAAUAAGAUCAAAUAUUAAAAUUAGGAAUUUAGGCAUUACCUCAGGGAAAAGCCUUGACAGUGAAAAGAAACUACUUAAUCGCUAAUAGCUAGUCUGGACCAGACACUUAACUGCGCUUUGGGAAUCAUCCUGGGCUAAUCAGGAAAUAAACUUGACUUUUCUAUUUUUCUCUGAAGCUUUACAGGACAUACUCCCACUCCCAUUUUUUCCGAAGCCUACAGCAUCUUGAUUAAUAGUAUAAUUCCUGAAGUAUGCUGAAUGGACUUUAAGGUUCCUUUAGCAUUUCUGUAUAGAGUUAUAUGUGAUCUUUCUAUAACCAUGCCAUUCACUUAAAUAAUUCAUGAAGGGAAUGGUUUAAUUUAAAGGAAGACCUAAUAGGAAGAAGAUUAAAGGAAGCUUUUAGUCAGCCUGUGGCUAGAUUUAUUGAUUUGGUGAUCAAACCUGUGUUCUUUCCUGAAUUUCAGCUAAUGGCCAACUGUGGUCAAAGAAUGGCUUUCAGUUAAAGUUUUGACUUCUUAUUAUAAAUAAUAUAAAGAAUGUCUUAGUAAUUAGAAAUCCCUUAAUAAGUAGAACAAAUGUGGCAAGUAGGACUCCUGUCAGUACACAAAUUCCAUUUCUUUUUAUAAGAAAAACACAUAAACCAUUAUCAUUUAUUCAUGAGCCAAAGCCAUUAAGAAGAUAAAUCCAGUUAUCAGCUUCCUGUCUCUGAAGUUUGGAUCAUUUUAUAGAUCCACGCAAUAGAGAGCUUCCUUCCUAUGAAACAAAAACCUUGAGAUCUCUUUUUUUUUUUUUUGAGACGGAGUCUCGCUGUUGUCGGCCCAGGCUGGAGUGCAAUGGUGCAUCUUGGUUCACUGCAACCUCUGCCUUCCAGGUUCUAGCAAUUCUCCUACCUCAGCUCCUGAGUAGCUGAGAUGACAGGCGUGUGCCACCAUGCCUGGCUAAUUUUUGUAUUUUUAGCAGAGACGGGGUUUCACCAUGUUGGCCAGGCUGGUCUCGAACUCCUGACCUCAGGUGACCACCCGCCUCUGCCUCCCAAAAUGCUAGGAUUACAGGCAUGAGCCACCAUGCCUGGCAGAGAUCUAACUCUUAUACUUAACUUUUCUUUAAAAUAUUUCUUGUCACUUUUACCUAUAAUCAAAAUCCAAUUAACAGCUUACACAUUCAUUUUGGUAAAGCAAAUUUCACAGAAAAGUAGACAAAAUUAUAAGAGUUUCCUGGAGACAACACAAGGAAAACAAUGUUUAAAUGUAAAAUAGCCUGUGUAAUGUUAGGUGAUGUAAUGCCCAAGUGAAUAAAAGAUUUUUAGCCAAGCAAACUACUGUUUCUACUUUAGAGGAAAAAAAGUCAGUUUUCCAUUUGUAUUUUAAGGAAAGAACAGAAAGCACAAAGGUUUUUCUUUAUUAGUGGCCUACUAGAAAUGAGCAGUGCAAGAGUCUACCUGUACUAUUCUAAUACAGUAAGAUACUGGACACAAAAUGGAGGUAACUUUUUAAAAUAGAUUGGCUUGGAAGUUGAAAUGUAGAUUAAUGGAUAUAACCCAAUAGAAAGGGAUUUUAAAAUAAAGCCAAAGUCUAUUUUUUUAUUUACUUUCUAAUUUUGGACAGGUUACUCAGUCUAAAUCUUCUUUGCCUUUAUUUCCUAUAAAAUGUAGGUGAUACUUGUCACUCGACUUCCUGGAGGUUAAUUCUUCAGCAAGAGGUGACCCUGAGAGCAUACUUUAAAAUAAUUGCUGUACAGCCAUUGAGUACUAACGUGAUGAUAGGUUUUCAAAAUAUCUCUGUAGUGGACCCUGCAUAAUUACAUUCACUUCUCUUAGACUGUAAAAUACUUUCUUGACUUGUUUUAACAGUAGAGAUAGCAGUACAAUUUGAAUUUAUGGUUUAGGCUCUGCAAUUAGAGGAACAACUGCAGUUUCCUCCUACCCUUCAGAAUAUGGUCUGUGUAAAACUGAUGUUUGCCUAACUUAUUUUAAAAGUUGGUUACGUUUUCAGAAAAUAAAGAUAAUCACUUUUGCCAUGGUUAUAAUCAAAUCUAAGCUUUCAGACUUGAGAGCCAUGGUGUAAAACUCAAGGAGGUUUACUUAAAUUAUGCUGACUUUGCUAGAAUUGGAUAAAUUCUAUAUAAGCCAAGUAUGAGUUCACAUGUACUCAAAUAUGCAGUUUUCACAAAGCUAUUACUCUUGUUAAUCAGGCUUGUAUGAUUUAUUCCUUACCACGAAAGAAGUAGACAAUUGCCACUUUUAUUUCUAAUCCUUAAGUUGAAUGUUUCUUCUUGGAUGUAAGUUCAAAUAAACUGAUCUGGAUAAAUUUUCAUUUCUUCUUAAUUAAAACUUCCUAUG